rnacentral:tRNA from 1 species
UACAAAGUAGUUUAAUAGAAAGAGUCCUGGACUAGGAAACAGGAAAUCUGGGUUCAAGUCCCAGCUUUGUCA